rnacentral:rRNA from 1 species
CAGCCGUAAACUAUGCUCGCUAGGUGUCAGGCAUGGCGCGACCGUGUCUGGUGCCGCAGGGAAGCCGUGAAGCGAGCCACCUGGGAAAGUACGGCCGCAAGGCUGAAACUUAAGGAUUGGCCGGGGGAGCACAACAACGGGUGGAGCCUGCGGUUUAAUUGGACUCAACGCCGGACAACUCACCGGGGACGACAGCAAUAUGUAGGCCAGGCUGAAGACCUUGCCUGACUCGCUGAGAGGAGGUGCAUGGCGUAGACGUCU